rnacentral:rRNA from 1 species
CGUAGGGUGCAAGCGUUGUCCGGAAUUAUUGGGCGUAAAGAGCUCGUAGGCGGUCUGUUGCGUCGGCUGUGAAAACCCGGGGCUCAACCCCGGGCCUGCAGCCGAUACGGGCAGACUAGAGUUCGGCAGGGGAGACUGGAAUUCCUGGUGUAGCGGUGAAAUGCGCAGAUAUCAGGAGGAACACCGGUGGCGAAGGCGGGUCUCUGGGCCGAUACUGACGCUGAGGAGCGAAAGCGUGGGGAGCGAACAGGAUUAGAUACCCUGGUAGUCCACGCCGUAAACGUUGGGCGCUAGGUGUGGGUUCCCUUCCACGGGAUCCGUGCCGCAGCUAACGCAUUAAGCGCCCCGCCUGGGGAGUACGGCCGCAAGGCUA